GGGUUGUGAGGUUAAGCGACUAAGCGUACACGGUGGAUGCCCUGGCAGUCAGAGGCGAUGAAGGACGUGCUAAUCUGCGAAAAGCGUCGGUAAGGUGAUAUGAACCGUUACAGCCGGCGAUGUCCGAAUGGGGAAACCCAGUGCAAUUCGUUGCACUAUCGUUAACUGAAUACAUAGGUUAACGAGGCGAACCGGGGGAACUGAAACAUCUAAGUACCCCGAGGAAAAGAAAUCAACCGAGAUUCCCCCAGUAGCGGCGAGCGAACGGGGAGCAGCCCAGAGUCUGAAUCAGCUUGUGUGUUAGUGGAACGGUCUGGAAAGUCCGACGGUACAGGGUGAUAGUCCCGUACACCAAAAUGCACAGGCUGUGAACUCGAAGAGUAGGGCGGGACACGUGGUAUCCUGUCUGAAUAUGGGGGGACCAUCCUCCAAGGCUAAAUACUCCUGACUGACCGAUAGUGAACCAGUACCGUGAGGGAAAGGCGAAAAGAACCCCGGCGAGGGGAGUGAAAAAGAACCUGAAACCGUGUACGUACAAGCAGUGGGAGCACCUUCGGGUGUGACUGCGUACCUUUUGUAUAAUGGGUCAGCGACUUAUAUUCUGUAGCAAGGUUAACCGUAUAGGGGAGCCGCAGGGGAAACCGAGUCUUAACUGGGCGUUAAGUUGCAGGGUAUAGACCCGAAACCCGGUGAUCUAGCCAUGGGCAGGUUGAAGGUUGGGUAACACUAACUGGAGGACCGAACCGACUAAUGUUGAAAAAUUAGCGGAUGACUUGUGGCUGGGGGUGAAAGGCCAAUCAAACCGGGAGAUAGCUGGUUCUCCCCGAAAGCUAUUUAGGUAGCGCCUCGUGAAUUCAUCUUCGGGGGUAGAGCACUGUUUCGGCUAGGGGGUCAUCCCGACUUACCAACCCGAUGCAAACUACGAAUACCGAAGAAUGUUAUCACGGGAGACACACGGCGGGUGCUAACGUCCGUCGUGAAGAGGGAAACAACCCAGACCGCCAGCUAAGGUCCCAAAGUCAUGGUUAAGUGGGAAACGAUGUGGGAAGGCACAGACAGCCAGGAUGUUGGCUUAGAAGCAGCCAUCAUUUAAAGAAAGCGUAAUAGCUCACUGGUCGAGUCGGCCUGCGCGGAAGAUGUAACGGGGCUAAACCAUGCACCGAAGCUGCGGCAGCGACACUAUGUGUUGUUGGGUAGGGGAGCGUUCUGUAAGCCUGCGAAGGUGUGCUGUGAGGCAUGCUGGAGGUAUCAGAAGUGCGAAUGCUGACAUAAGUAACGAUAAAGCGGGUGAAAAGCCCGCUCGCCGGAAGACCAAGGGUUCCUGUCCAACGUUAAUCGGGGCAGGGUGAGUCGACCCCUAAGGCGAGGCCGAAAGGCGUAGUCGAUGGGAAACAGGUUAAUAUUCCUGUACUUGGUGUUACUGCGAAGGGGGGACGGAGAAGGCUAUGUUAGCCGGGCGACGGUUGUCCCGGUUUAAGCAUGUAGGCUGGUUGUCCAGGCAAAUCCGGAUAAUCAAGGCUGAGGUGUGAUGACGAGGCACUACGGUGCUGAAGUAACAAAUGCCCUGCUUCCAGGAAAAGCCUCUAAGCAUCAGGUAACAUUAAAUCGUACCCCAAACCGACACAGGUGGUCAGGUAGAGAAUACCAAGGCGCUUGAGAGAACUCGGGUGAAGGAACUAGGCAAAAUGGUGCCGUAACUUCGGGAGAAGGCACGCUGGUGUGUAGGUGAAGUCCCUGCGGAUGGAGCUGAGACCAGUCGAAGAUACCAGCUGGCUGCAACUGUUUAUUAAAAACACAGCACUGUGCAAACACGAAAGUGGACGUAUACGGUGUGACGCCUGCCCGGUGCCGGAAGGUUAAUUGAUGGGGUUAUCCGUAAGGAGAAGCUCUUGAUCGAAGCCCCGGUAAACGGCGGCCGUAACUAUAACGGUCCUAAGGUAGCGAAAUUCCUUGUCGGGUAAGUUCCGACCUGCACGAAUGGCGUAAUGAUGGCCAGGCUGUCUCCACCCGAGACUCAGUGAAAUUGAACUCGCUGUGAAGAUGCAGUGUACCCGCGGCAAGACGGAAAGACCCCGUGAACCUUUACUAUAGCUUGACACUGAACAUUGAGCCUUGAUGUGUAGGAUAGGUGGGAGGCUUUGAAGCGUGGACGCCAGUCUGCGUGGAGCCAACCUUGAAAUACCACCCUUUAAUGUUUGAUGUUCUAACGUUGGCCCUUACCGGGGUUGCGGACAGUGUCUGGUGGGUAGUUUGACUGGGGCGGUCUCCUCCCAAAGCGUAACGGAGGAGCACGAAGGUUAGCUAAUCCUGGUCGGACAUCAGGAGGUUAGUGCAAUGGCAUAAGCUAGCUUGACUGCGAGCGUGACGGCGCGAGCAGGUGCGAAAGCAGGUCAUAGUGAUCCGGUGGUUCUGAAUGGAAGGGCCAUCGCUCAACGGAUAAAAGGUACUCCGGGGAUAACAGGCUGAUACCGCCCAAGAGUUCAUAUCGACGGCGGUGUUUGGCACCUCGAUGUCGGCUCAUCACAUCCUGGGGCUGAAGUAGGUCCCAAGGGUAUGGCUGUUCGCCAUUUAAAGUGGUACGCGAGCUGGGUUUAGAACGUCGUGAGACAGUUCGGUCCCUAUCUGCCGUGGGCGCUGGAGAAUUGAGGGGGGCUGCUCCUAGUACGAGAGGACCGGAGUGGACGCAUCACUGGUGUUCGGGUUGUCAUGCCAAUGGCACUGCCCGGUAGCUAAAUGCGGAAGAGAUAAGUGCUGAAAGCAUCUAAGCACGAAACUUGCCCCGAGAUGAGUUCUCCCUGAGACUUUAAGUCUCCUGAAGGAACGUUAAAGACGAUGACGUUGAUAGGCCGGGUGUGUAAGCGCAGCGAUGCGUUGAGCUAACCGGUACUAAUGAACCGUGAGGCUUAACCUUACAACGCCGAAG
rnacentral:rRNA from 1 species